rnacentral:lncRNA from 1 species
GAACCUUAUGUAAACAUGCUUGAAACUUUUAGGAGAAGACCCUAUUCAUAGAGAACUUCAUCAAAAGGCCGACUAAGUCUUGAGCUAGAAGUGUUCAUUAGUGAGAUUUUAGGUCUUCAAUGUCCCUCCUUCAUAUUCCCCAAGAACGUUGAUAAGACUUCGGUAAGGCGAAUUGAAGAAAAAUUCAAACAUUUAAACUAGUGUUGAUGAGAUUCUACUAUUUUGACCUUAUCGUCUAUCCAAAACAUGAGUCUUUGAUGAAGUGUCGAGGGAACACGUUCACUGAUAUGUAUCCAAUCUCUAUCGAGGAUUAAAGAGUAUGAAGGCUUGUCGUCAAUGAAACUUCACCUAUUAUUUAUGGUAUUGGUUCAUGAUUGCCUAGUCUAGUAUAUCAUCAGUAGUUUCUAUAAGAACAUUUAUGAUUGCUGGAAUAUUUUGGCUGACACAUCAAGAUAACUUCUUUGUUAUGGUUAGUUUUAGAAUCAGUUGGGAAAGCUUCUUCCUACUCUUUGGAAACCCGAGACAAUGAAACUUCUAUUUUACCCAUGUCUUGGACUCUAGUAAUCAAUUACAUUUUCUGUUGCAUCUUCAAAAGGUAGUGUUUCCUCUGCUACCUUCGCUUUUAUAUUCUCUGCUACCUUCGCUUUUAUAUUCUGAUGAGAUCUGAAAGUGAGAAAAAUAUAAGAAGGGUUGAAUUGUGUUGCCUUUUUCUGAAAAAUCUUUUCUAAGCUAAAAAUUAAUCUUAAAAGAUUAAAAAAGAAAGAGAGGAGAGAUAGACACAAAUAAUUUAUCCUUUUUUUUAAAGACAAAUAAUUUAUCCUUGUUCAACCCGCAAUACGGGAUUAUGUGUAAUCCUCUCACACAAGAGAGAUUUUUCAUUAUAAUCAUACAAACUUACAAUUACUUAGAAGCACAAGUUUAAGAUUUGUUACCUCAACUAGAGGAUUUUUACAAUCACAAUUUUCAAAUAUUUGAUUGAUGUUUACACUUCAGACUCAAAUAAUGGUAAACUAAAAUAAGCUCAGAGUAAUUUAUAAACACUUAAGAAAUUCUAAGAUUGAAAGCAUGCAGUUUUCUAUGUUCCUCAAAUUCUCAAGGUCCUUUUAUAGAAGAAUUGAAUAAAGUCGUUGUUUAAGAUAUUUGCUAACGUAUCACAAGAUUUCUUUACGUUUGAAAUCUUUGUCUCUAAAGAAUAAUUUUGUUGAAUAGUACUUCAAAAUUUCUUUGUUUCUUUUAGAAUGAUACAUUGCCUCCUCUUUGUCUUGUAGGAGCUUUGUCCAUUUCUGCAAUGUGGUGUUCAUUUAAAUGAGAAAGGACCAAAUGUAUUAUAGAAUUUGGAAAGUGAUGUUUGAUGGCAGAUCAUCUUAUGUUAUUCUUAGCAUGUUUGUUAGUUAAUUAUAGUAGGUUUUACCAGCAAAACAUAGGUGUAUUAGAUCAAUUGCCUAUGAUUUUUGGACAUUUAUAAUGUUUUCUAUAUUUGAGUUUGUAAUUCUAUUCUUCCCAAAACAUAGCAAUUUUAGGGUGUUCUUGAUGUAAUUCACGAAGAGAUCAAGCAAAUCAGGAAAAGCAAGACAUUCAAAGAUUUAUGUUAUCUUUGGGAAGAUGAAGAAUGAAAAUUCAAGAGGCUUCAGAAGACUUAGCAGAGGGAGAAAUUAUGUUCCAUAGUUCCAUGAAUUUUUACAUUGAAGAAAAUACCAAAACAGGCGUAGAAAACAUGCAAAAUAGCAUAGAAAACACACUAAAGCACCCAUGCGCACCACAAGGGUGCUAGGAGCUCUGGAGCUGAUACACAGAAGUGCCUGGCCCAUGCCAUGGGGUGUUAGGCGCCUCAUACUGGCAGGCACAUGCGCUAGGCGCAUGACCUUAGGUUCUAGGUGAAGCUUGCUUUGCAUGUGUUGUUGUUUUGAUGAUGUUCACUAAGACUCUUAAAAGUUGUUUAUUAUUUUUUUUGCUUUAGGUUGUAUAGCUUAAAGUUAUGUUAAUGCAUCUAGCAAUCUUUGUCCCUUUA